CCAGCAUACCCUACCCUCGAGUUAGUUCUUCGUCUUCCUUCCUGUUAGUCAUGGACUCAUGGGAAUGUUCGCCGCGAUUUUGAGUCUUCGUUUUGUGCAAAACUCAAAUUAGUUCUCAGAUCAAUCGGUGCUGCAAAUCUGAUAUUAACGGAACCCAAUUGGGGACAUCAAAAGUCAGGGAGGUAUUUUAAGCAGUUGUGGCGGAGCGAUGGGGUUUACACUAAACAAAUCUUCUGUUAAAUUGUUGAAGAUAUAAAGAAGCCAUUUUCAAUCCUUAAUGGUUUAGUGGAAUCAAAAACUCUUCUGGUUCUAUUCAAAUUCCGUUCUAUCGACUUUGGUCUUAUCUUCACUGCAAUCGUUGUUUGGUCAAUAAAUUUCAACGACCUCUCAAAAAUCACUGGAUAAAAUAAUAAAAGCUCAAAAGAUAUUUCACAGCAACAGAUCAUGGAGAGACACAGAGAACUAUGUAGAGUUUAACUAGAAGUUUAGAGCCUGUUUGGUACAAUUUUUAAAAACAGUUUUCAAAAAUAGUUUUCUACUAUUUUGAAAACAUACCCUUUUUUUCCUUGUUUUCAUUUUCUAAAUUUUUUUUGGUAAGAUAAAAACAGUUUUUGAAAAUUAAGGAAAAUCGACUAAAUCAGAUCAAAUGUAAAGACUCGUCUAAGAGAUAGUGAUAUUGGCCAUGAUUCACUGACAUGCAUUCCCCUGAUCUCUUACUUUGUUCUGAAAAGAAGAAGAAGGAAUAAAAAUAAAAAAGAGAAAACGCAGAAAACAAUAAUUUGUUGUUUUCAUUUUUUUUGUUUUCAAAAACAGAAAACAAGUAGAAAACAUUUUCUGAAAAUGUCCCUACCAAACAUGUUUUCUCCUGUUUUCUGUUUUCUCUGUUUUUAGAAACAGAAAACUGUUUUCAAAAACUAUACCAAACAAGCUCUUAUAUUUUCGUGAUAGAAGCAACCACAAAUUAGGUUCACUUCUUUUAUAGCUUGAAGUCAUUCAUGCAUGUCUUUUAAUUUCAAUUUCAGCAGUUUGUUCUUCAACUCAUGUCCUUUUCUAUACUGCUCAUGUUUCUGAGUUCUUAAUGAUUCGGUUGCAAUCCAACCCUUUCAGAAUGUUUGAAAACGUAACAAAGUUUCUUAGCUCCAUACCGGAUCACUUUGCACGACUGAAUACCAUGUUCCCUUUGUAACUUUCGAUUUACAUCUUUUUAACACGUGAUUUCCAUCAAAUUUAGUUGUUUCGUUUCUUACAUUACCAGUGUGCACGCUCAUUUUCGGGUCGGUGUUACGACGUUGCUGUUGGAGUUCUAAGCAGUAUUAGUGUGUUUAUAAGCUUUUGGUGUUUUUAUGUAAGAUGUUGAAAUCGAAGCAGUUGAUUCAGUGGGAAGAAGGGAAACAUAGAUAAAUAGUAAGUCACUCUUUAUCCCUUCCAUAUCCCAUUACAAUUUAAUUAACCAGUUUUAUCGGAAAAUCCAUUGGUUCCGUCCCACUUCCAUGCUGAAAAUUUACCUUCAUGGUUUAGUAUUUUGUUUGUUGGGUAUUAUAUAUGAAAUUCCUGCUUUCCACAAGGUCUGAAAGACUUCUUGGGUGUAUUUCGGGGAAAAACAUUGUUGAUCACACUCGAUUGAGUCUUGAAAAAUUGUGGUAGCCAUUUGUGAUUCGGUUCAUCGUCUUGACCCUUUCUUCCUGAUGUGCAGCUCAUCUUACGGUUAACCAGACAUCGGUUUUCUCCUUCCCUGUGUCGCAAGUUACGUCGCACCCUCAUUACAUGUACCCUAUGUAGUUUUAUAUUCUCUUUCACAUCAAAUUCGUUGGUUUUUGUUUUCGUUAUUUUCUCAUCAGCUCCCUAAUGAUGGGUUCUGUUCUCUGCAAAAUUUAGUGCACGCCCACUUUAAGAAGACCCAUUCUAGUUUCCGUUCAAUCAGAUUCAUAACUAAUAAUCCUCAGUAAAGUGUCCGGUAGCUCCUACUGUCCAUUUCUUGCUCUUUGUGAAGUGUAAAUUCUUAAUUUUAGUUGGUACGUCACAACCAUAUAUUCCAUCUUUUUCUUUGGCUUCAAAUGUUUGUGCCUUCUUAAGUGACCCCUUUUAUUGAGAAGUUGUUGUUUCCACUGACUUUUUGAGAGAGAUCCUGGGGAAAAUUGAUGCAUACUACUGACAUUGAUAUGUGGAGAAAGACUUUGUCAGAUUGAUUUAUUUCUUUGAUGUCUGAAAGACGAGCAAUCUGUGAUUCUCAUAGUAUGCAGUGACCAUCAACAGAGAGAGAUAAGAAAAGGGUUUAGGCAUGGUUUCUCAAAUAUAACUUGCGGGAAAGAAUUUGCACAUUGCUAUGACAUUUCUUUGAGGCGUGAGCUGUUAUCACAUCAUUAUAAGCGGACCUUAUUAUCGCUGCAUCAUUAUAUCCAUGAAUUUCUGUGAGCACUUUUAGUUUAUCUUUACCACAUAAAAUAUAUUCCACCCCUCUAAAUUUAAGAGUUAAAUUUUUUUGUAGUUCUGUUCUUUUUUCAUCAUCCAGGUAACAUCUUGAUGAGAGUUAAAUUAAAAAUACGUUGUGGUGUUGAGAAAGUUCAAAUGAAAAUCAUUAGCAUUUGACAUCCCCGUCGUUGCAAGAAGGUUUUCCUCCCUGUCAACUUCAUAAGGUAUUCUUGAAUGUUUGCUUUUCACUUCUUUGGUCUAUUGUGCUUUGUUCUUUAUUGUGCUUUGUUCUCAUGUACCAUUCCUUAUUGGCCGGGUAUUUUCUACAUUAGGAAUGAAACUGACAUUCCCAAAGUUACAAGCCAACAAAUCAUAUUUGCAAGUUAAUAUCCCAUGUACGCUGAGGCAUUCUCAAUCCAACAGAAAUAUUCAACCGCACAAGUGAGAAGCCAAAGCUCAGGCAUUCGAACAUCAAACUACUUUGAUGUUUUUCAAGUUUUCUUCUGUCGACUACGAAAGCUUGGAAUAAAAAAAUGAGUAACAACUAAUAGGUUUCCGCCUAAGCUACUUAUGGUUCACAAAUGUCUUGCAAUUAUAUCGACACUGGACCAUUUGUAUCGGUGUGAUAGAUUUUAAGAUGGCUGAAACCUAUCCUUGAAAACCAUAGCAUCCAGUGGUGUGUAUGCCGAAACUGACAGUCGAGAAUCCUUGAUACAACCACCAAAGUAGUGCUGGCAUUUAUUUCCAUCAAGUUAAUCAUGUUUAUUUUAUUUUUGGGAAGGAUCACCAUGUGAAACCAAACAGUUGGGUGAUUGAGAAUGAAAACUAAUCUUCCGUUGUAAUUUUAACUUCCCUUCUUUACAUUCACUUUGUCUUCAUAAGAUUUUACUACUACAUACGGUCGAUAAACUAAUCAGGUGGACCAGGUAGAAGGUAACUUUGGCCUUGGCGUGUUGCAUAAAAAUAUGCUGCUGGAUCAAGCUGGAGAAAUGGUAGUGGAGUCGUUACACAGAUCGAUUUGGAGUAAGUGGUUGCUUCCUAAAGUAUCUUUUAUAGCAUGUUCAGUUUAUCGACGCUUCAGCAUAUUUAAUCUAUGAUUCCUAUGUAAGUGAAAUACAUUGUCAGCUUGCUUCGAUUGUUUGGAAUUUUUUCAUUUAGUCCUUGCCGUUAAACUGGGUGCUGCCGAGGGAUGUUCAAACUCAGUUGGAAGGCUGGAGCUACAUUAAUUUCCAAAAUGGCGGAACUAUUGGUUCAAAGGUUCCGCGUGCAAUAAUUUGGGAGCUAUGGAAAGAACCCAAGGACCCAGUGCUAGAUUUCGUUGGCAGGGGAAGCAAGAAAAAGGAUUGCGAAUACAACCGUUUCUUAUGCUCUGUUGCUCUGAUGAACACUUAUACAGGGAUACUCAUUUCCGUAGAAAAAAAAAUCUGUAAGAAACUGUGAUGAUGUAAUCUUUUAUAUUGUAACUGAAGAGUGCAUAUAUUACUUUAUGGAAAUUACAUCCAAAAUCACUAUACCAA